ensembl:lncRNA
UAAGCUUGCCAGGUUUCAAACUCAUACAUAAAACACAGAGCAGGGGCUGUUGUUUUGAAAUUUUGUAGGGGGCGCUGUGGAGCCAUUUUGCGCUCUUCAAGGAAAAUGAACAUAUAAAAAGAAAUCCCUCAUCACAUUAGAGGUGUGCGCCAAAUUUCAAGACUUUUUAAACUUUUCAAGCCCCUCAAAAGCCACUUCAUCUUUCAUGGUGAACUGCGCUGCCACCAGGGUGCGCCGUUCAGUUUAUAGUCACAAUUUUCUCACUGAAGCAUCAAGAGGGACUGAUGGUGAUAUUCACCGCUUUUGAGGUGGCCAUGAUGAACCUGUGAAAAUCAGUACAACAAAAUGAAAGACAUGACAUUUCCUGGUGCCACUAGGUGGCGCUCUACGUAUUCCUGACAAUGGGCACAUCAAUCUGUUCAGGGCAGGACUGACAUCAUGCCUGUAAAGUCUGGUACUGAUCAGAUUGGAUUUCAUUGAGUUACACUAAUUUGUUUCUUCAUGGCGAGACAUCAAUGUUCGCCAUGCUGCUGGGGUCACACCCUUCCGCGAAAACUCACAGUCUUCACUGUAACCCAAGACCAACUCCUUAAGGCUUUC